GUACGCUCUAUAGAUGAUGAAAACGUGUUCAAAUAAUGUAUCUUUAGAAAUCAACUCCCUUUUGGGGUUAAAAUGGGGGAUGGUAGGUUGACUCACUAAUCACGAAAUUUCCGAAACUAUAACACCUACAAACUUGAAAUUUGGCAAGUAAGCUCCUUAUAAGGCGUAGACAUCCGUUAAGAACGGGUUUUACGAAAUUCGACCCCUAAGGGGGUAA
rnacentral:misc_RNA from 1 species